rnacentral:misc_RNA from 1 species
CUCAUUUGACCUAGUUUACCUGAGCGCACCUGACGAUAGCUUGGACGACACCUACAAACACACUACCGCUACCAUGGUUGUCAAGCUCCAAGUAUUUAAGAAAAGUUCCCCAAAUAAUAAGCUGACACUCUACUUAACCAAGCGAGAUUAUUUCGACCAUGUGACACACGUUGACCCGAUAGAGGGCGUGUUAGUCCUCGAUCCCAAUUACGUGAGCGACCGCAAUGUGUACGUUCAGAUCGUCCUCACCUUCAGGUUCGGGAGGGAAGAAGAUGAAUCGAUGGGUUAUAACUUCGUCAAGACUAUGUACCUAGGCACUACCCAGCUCUACCCUCCUGUCACGUGCUUCCCGCCUUCUGAGAUACAGCGUAAUCUCAUCUCCAAGCUGGGGAACUUCGCCUUCCCUUUUAUGUUGGAGUUCCCGAAGCUGUCGACGCCCUCUUACACCAUGAUGCAGGGCUGGGAGGAGGAGGGGAGGCUCAUUGGGGUCGAGUUUGAGGUGAUGGGGUUUGUGGGAGUCAACGAGCAGGACUGCCAUAAGAGGAGUAGUUGUCGUCUGACGGUCCGCCGCCUGAUGGAGUGCCCUGCCCGGCUGUUCGACGCCCCGGCCCCCCGAGGCAACAUCACCAAGACUUUCCUCACUUGCUCCGGCUCCGUCACCCUGGAGGCUUCCCUCACCUCUAACGUGUACUUCCCCGAGGAGGAGAUCCCUGUGCAGGUCACCAUCAAGAACAACACCACCAGGGAGCUCAAGAAACUGAAGGUGAAGAUCGUACAGAUGAGUGAGGUGCCAAUCUUCAGUAAACAACAGGUGAGAGACAAAACACUCAUGAAAAUUGACAACAACAUCAACCUGCCAGCUGGGGCCGACACCAGCAAGAACUACACCCUCAUCCCCGCUGUCCCCUCCAGAAUGGCGCGGGGCCAAGUGUUCCUUCAAUCUGAGCUGCAGGGUAACACUUCUCCUAGCCUGGCGCCCUCCACCAUCCUGAAUCCCGAGGUCGACAAGAGAGAUCUGUUUGGCGUCCACGUCACCUACGCUGUCAGGAUCAAGGUCCCAUUAGGUACUCUUAUUGGGGACACUAUACUCGACGUGCCCUUUAUCUUGGCCGUCCAGCAAGGGCAGUGAGACGAGGAGACGGUGGUGGCUAACAGGAGACGGUGGUGGCUAACAGGAGACGGUGGUGGCUAACAGGAGACGGUGGUGGCUAACAGGAGACGGUGGUGGCUAACAGGAGACGGUGGUGGCUAACAGGAGACUAACGGUGAAGAUAACAACAAACUAUCUUCAGAUCAUUAUUACUGAGAAUAUCACUUAACCAACUACUACUUUUGUCCCUUUAACUUACGAGGAGUCUAUUAACGUGUUGCUUGUGUCUCUUCAUUAAACAUUAACAUAAGAAUUAUUACUAUUGUUCGGGUUAAUAGUUUACGUUUCUCAUUAUAUAGGUAUGUAGAUUAAGUCAAGUUUGUUUAUGUAAUGGAUUCAAGCUGUGGUUAGGUUAGGUUUGGUUAGAUUAGGGUGAUGACAGGUCUGUAGAGAUAACUUUACCAAGGUAGAAUAUUGUAGGAGUUUAGGCAGUAGUUUUUACAUUAAGUUGUAUUAUUCACCUUCAUUCUUCACCCCCUUGUGUGUUCUUGACUCCUGAUGCUGUGUUGUGGAUAACUUAUAUUCAUUUAUUCAUUGUACACCAAUUAAGAGGGAGACAUAUGGCUCGUUCUUAAUUCAACAAUACACACAGGAGAACGGCGACUAUUAACAAGGAAAUUGGCAGCUGAAGAAUCAUUUAUAAUGUUUUUUUUUUAAUAAUUGUUGAUGUUGAUUUAAUUUUUUUAUUUUACUUAUUAAUAUAAAAUGGUUAUUGAUAUAUUGUAUCUCUUAUUGUUGUUAGUGUGUGUGUGUGUGUGUGUGUGUGUGUGUGUGUGUGUGUGUGUGUGUGUAUGUGUGUGUGUGUGUGUAGU